rnacentral:rRNA from 1 species
GGCCGUGGCGGCUCUUACCAUGCAGUCGAGCGCUGAAGCUCCCAGCUUGCUGGGGGUGGAUGAGUGGCGAACGGGUGAGUAAUACGUGAGUGACCUUCCCUUGACUCUGGGAUAAGCCCGGGAAACUGGGUCUAAUACCGGAUAUUCACUUCCUCCUGCCUGGGGGGUGGUGGAAAGGGUUCUGUACUGGUCUUGGAUGGGCUCACGGCCUAUCAGCUUGUUGGUGAGGUAAUGGCUCACCAAGGCGACGACGGGUAGCCGGCCUGAGAGGGUGACCGGCCACACUGGGACUGAGACACGGCCCAGACUCCUACGGGAGGCAGCAGUGGGGAAUAUUGCACAAUGGGCGCAAGCCUGAUGCAGCGACGCCGCGUGAGGGAUGACGGCCUUCGGGUUGUAAACCUCUUUCAGCAGGGAAGAAGCGAAAGUGACGGUACCUGCAGAAGAAGCGCCGGCUAACUACGUGCCAGCAGCCGCGGUAAUACGUAGGGCGCAAGCGUUGUCCGGAAUUAUUGGGCGUAAAGAGCUCGUAGGCGGCUUGUCGCGUCUGCUGUGAAAGCCCGGGGCUUAACCCCGGGUGUGCAGUGGGUACGGGCAGGCUAGAGUGCAGUAGGGGAGACUGGAAUUCCUGGUGUAGCGGUGAAAUGCGCAGAUAUCAGGAGGAACACCGAUGGCGAAGGCAGGUCUCUGGGCUGUUACUGACGCUGAGGAGCGAAAGCAUGGGGAGCGAACAGGAUUAGAUACCCUGGUAGUCCAUGCCGUAAACGUUGGGCACUAGGUGUGGGGGACAUUCCACGUUUUCCGCGCCGUAGCUAACGCAUUAAGUGCCCCGCCUGGGGAGUACGGCCGCAAGGCUAAAACUCAAAGGAAUUGACGGGGGCCCGCACAAGCGGCGGAGCAUGCGGAUUAAUUCGAUGCAACGCGAAGAACCUUACCAAGGCUUGACAUACACCGGAUCGCAGCAGAGAUGUUGUUUCUCCUUUGGGGCUGGUGUACAGGUGGUGCAUGGGUUGUCGUCAGCUCGUGUCGUGAGAUGUUGGGUUAAGUCCCGCACGAGCGCAACCCUCGUCUAUGUUGCCAGCACGUGAUGGUGGGACUCAUAGGAAGACUGCCGGGGUCAACUUCGAGGAACGUG